rnacentral:tRNA from 1 species
CGGGGCAUGGCGCAGCCUGGUAGCGCGCCUGCUUUGGGAGCAGGAAGUCGGGGGUUCGAAUCCCUCCACCCCGACCA